GUCUCUGUAGCACAAUCGGUUAGCGCGUUCGGCUGUUAACUGAAAGGUUGGUGGUUCAAGCCCACCCAGGGACG
rfam:Danio rerio chromosome 4, GRCz11 reference primary assembly.